AUUGAACGCUGGCGGCAUGCCUUACACAUGCAAGUCGAACGGCAGCGCGGGAGCAAUCCUGGCGGCGAGUGGCGAACGGGUGAGUAAUACAUCGGAACGUGCCCAAUCGUGGGGGAUAACGCAGCGAAAGCUGUGCUAAUACCGCAUACGAUCUACGGAUGAAAGCAGGGGAUCGCAAGACCUUGCGCGAAUGGAGCGGCCGAUGGCAGAUUAGGUAGUUGGUGAGGUAAAGGCUCACCAAGCCUUCGAUCUGUAGCUGGUCUGAGAGGACGACCAGCCACACUGGGACUGAGACACGGCCCAGACUCCUACGGGAGGCAGCAGUGGGGAAUGUUGGACAAUGGGCGAAAGCCUGAUCCAGCCAUGCCGCGUGCAGGAUGAAGGCCUUCGGGUUGUAAACUGCUUUUGUACGGAACGAAACGGUCUUUUCUAAUAAAGAAGGCUAAUGACGGUACCGGAAGAAUAAGCACCGGCUAACUACGUG
rnacentral:rRNA from 1 species